rnacentral:rRNA from 1 species
AGUGAACGCUGGCGGCAGGCUUAACACAUGCAAGUCGAACGCCUGUAGCAAUACGGGAGUGGCAGACGGGUGAGUAACGCGUGGGAACGUGCCCUUUGGUUCGGGAUAACCCAGGGAAACUUGGGCUAAUACCGGAUACGUCCCUAACGGGAGAAAGAUUUAUUGCCGAAGGAUCGGCCCGCGUCCGAUUAGCUAGUUGGUGGGGUAAAGGCUCACCAAGGCGACGAUCGGUAGCUGGUCUGAGAGGAUGAUCAGCCACACUGGGACUGAGACACGGCCCAGACUCCUACGGGAGGCAGCAGUGGGGAAUAUUGGACAAUGGGCGCAAGCCUGAUCCAGCCAUGCCGCGUGGGUGAUGAAGGCCCUAGGGUUGUAAAGCCCUUUCGGCGGGGAAGAUAAUGACGGUACCCGCAGAAGAAGCCCCGGCUAACUUCGUGCCAGCCGCCGCGGUAAAAC